rnacentral:misc_RNA from 1 species
ACAAAUCCGAUAAUUGCAUGAAGGGGAGACCCUUUUUGCAAAUAUUAAAUCGCCGGCUGGCCUAGGCUAGCUGGUGAGAUUAUAUAAAUGCGUGUCAUGUUGACAGUGUGAGUGAGAUUUAAAUUUAUUGA